AUGCCACACCCACUUGUAUUCAGCAGUGAAGAAAAUGAAUAUGUACAAAAAGAAAUAGAUAAGUUUAUUUCAAAAACAAUUAUUCAACCUGUUACUCCAAUUGAGGAUCAGUAUGUUUCAAAUAUUUUUGUGAGACCCAAGAAAGAUGGCACUUAUCGAGUAAUUUUAAAUUUAAAACAGUUAAACCUUGAUAUUGAACAAAUACAUUUUAAAAUGGAAACUUUUAAAACAGCAAUAACAAACAUUACACAAAAUUGCUGGUUUGGUUCUGUUGAUUUAAAAGAUGCAUAUUAUUCUGUUAGCAUCAAUGAAAAAGAUAGGAAAUAUCUUAGAUUUUAUUGGAAUGGUGUUCUGUAUGAAUACACUUGUUUGCCAAAUGGAUUAACAACAGCACCGCGAAUUUUCACAAAAAUUUUAAAAGUUGUAUUUUCUAAACUGAGAAGUAAAGGACAUUGCAACACACCAUAUAUUGAUGAUAGUUUACUUGUGAGCAAGACCUUUUCUGGAUGUCAAAGUAAUAUAAUUGACACAGUACAAUUAUUAGAUCAUCUUGGUUUUACCAUACACCCAGAUAAAUCUGUACUUCAACCUACUCAAAUUAUUGUAUUUUUGGGUUUUGUGAUUAAUUCAAUAACAAUGUGUAUUAGAGUAACAAAAGAAAAGGCGGACAAUAUAAUUAAAUUAUGUAGUCGGUUAAUUCUCAAGGAAGAGAUUACAAUAAGAGAGUUUGCACAAGUUAUUGGAAAUUAGUAGCAACGGAACCAGGUGUACAGUAUGCACCAUUAUAUAUAAAGUCUUUAGAAAUUACAAAAGAUUUAUUGUUAAAACAAAAUUAUGGAAAUUUUGAUGCAAAAAUGACUUUGUCAGAUGGAAAAUAUUUCAGAUUUAAAUUGGUGGGUUAAUAAUAUAAAUAGUAGUUUCAAGCCAAUGACUUUAAUAGAUCCGCAAUUUAUUCUUAACACUGAUAGUUCAAACACUGGUUGGGGUGCAGUUGUGCAAGAUACAUUGUUCGAAACCAAAGGGUUUUGGUCAUAUGAAGAACAGAAAAACCAUAUUAAUUUUCUAGAGCUUAAGGCAGCAUUAUUAGCAUUAAUUUGGUUUUGUUCGUCAAGAAACAACAUUCAUGUAAAAGUGUAUCUAGAUAACAUGGUCGCAGUGAAUUACAUUAAUAAAAUGGGUGGCCGCAUUGUAAAGUUAAACAAUUUGACAAAGGAAUUGUGGAUUUGGUGUAUACAAAGGAAAAUUUGGGUUACUGCUUGUCAUUUGCCAGGAGUUGCUAAUAUAGAAGCAGAUAGGCUAUCAAGAUCAAUAAAUGUGGAUAUUGAGUGGAAAUUGCAUGAUGAUGUUUUUAAUAUUAUUGAUUGUUUAUUUGGACCACAUGAUGUGGAUUUAUUUGCAUCAAAAUUUAAUCAUCAAUUACCACGUUAUUUCUCUUAUUUGCCUGAUAAAUAUGCUGAAGCAGUAGAUGCUUUUUCUGUAAAAUGGAGUAACAUUAAUUGUUAUUGUUUUUCACCUUUCAGUCUGAUUGGGAAGAUAUUGCAAAAGGUGGACCAGGAUCAAGCAGACAUGACAUUAGUGGCACCAUUGUGGAACACUCAGAACUGGUUUCCACAAAUACUUCAUCGGAUUGUGGCACAGUCAUUCAUAAUAAACAAUCGAAAAAAUCUUCUGUAUCAACCCCAGAAUCCAACAAAGGAGCAUCAUUUAGUGAAAUUGCGAUUAGCAGUUUUCAGGAUAUCGGGGAAAUCUUGCAAAAUUAUGGAUUAUCAAAAGAAUCUUCUGAAAUCAUCAUUGCAUCUUGGAAACCAGCUACUCGACAACAAUAUUGGACAUAUUUCAAAAGAUGGUUGUUAUUUUGCAGUGAACGGAAAAUUAAUUCAUUUAAAGCCACUGAGUUAAAUGUUUUAGAAUUUUUAACUUCGUUAUAUAAAAUAGGUUUAGGUUACAGUGCUAUUAAUACUGCCAGAAGUAUGUUAUCUUCGUUUAUGUCUGUAAAUCAAGAGAAAACUGUUGGACAAUGGCCAUUGGUUAAGCGAUUUCUGAAAGGCAUAUUCAAUCUUAAACCAUCAUUACCCAGAUAUCAAAGAACCUGGGAUGUUGAAGUCGUGCUUAAAUAUUUGAAGACAUUAACACCAGUUUAUAUGUUAUCUUUGCGUGUUUUAUCCUAUAAGCUAGUUACACUGCUAUUAUUGUUAACAGGUCAAAGGUUACAAACCAUUCAUAGCUUAGAUUUAGAUGAUAUAACUGUUACAGAUAGUAACAUAUAUAUAGAUGUGAGAAGUUUAUUAAAAUGUUCAAAGCCAGGGAGGCAUUUACAACCAAUAGAGUUGCCAGCUUUUAUUGAAGAUAAAAGUCUGUGUAUUGUAACUGUGCUAAAAGAGUAUUUAGUUAGAACAUCAUGUUUUCGGAAAACUCAAAAGUUAAUCUUGAGCUGUAUAAAACCAUACUCUCAUGUGUCAAAAGACACGCUUGGACGUUGGGUUAAAAUUGUUUUGCAAACGGCUGGUGUAGACAUAACUAUUUAUAAACCACAUAGUACUAGAUCAGCAAGUACAUCUGCAGCACUACGGUGUGCUACUUCAAUUGAUACAAUUUUAAAAGCGGCAGGUUGGUCAAAUGAAUCAACAUUCAGGAAAUUUUAUGAUAAACCUGUAUCUAAACAAAAUUAUAAUGAUAAUUAUAGUGUGAAGGUUUUGAGAAGUCAUAUGUUAUCAAAUUCUGAUAAGUCUCAUGUAUAACAUAAUAAUGAUAAUACAUAUGUUAGAUUUACAAUCAAUGACAUUUUAAAAAUUUAACAUAACAGUUGCAUAUAUUUGUCAAUGUAUGUUUGAUUUAAUUUACUUUUGUACUUUGAUAGAAUACAAAGUUGAUACAACAUCUUGUGUUUUUAAAGCCUAUAAAUAAAUCAUGAUUGAUUAGGCUGUAAUAAAUUACAGUGAACAUGAGUAACAGAUCACAUAUCUCUGAAAUCUCAUGGUACUCUCAGCAUAUAGGUUCAAUAAAAUUGUACAAUUAAAUGAGACUUACCUUAAGUCGAAAUUUGAUUGUAAUUUUGUUGAACCUAUUUAUGCUGAGAGUUAACAUGCCCUCCCUAUCACUCGUAUUCCCACCCAGUUUUCUUUUGGUGUAUCAUGUGCUUAUGUGCUCUGUUACAUUCUCUGAAAAGUGACCUCUACGAUCUGCGUGCGCAUCUCAUGUUAACUCUCAGCAUAAAUAGGUUCAACAAAAUUACAAUCAAAUUUCGACUUAAGGUAAGUCUCAUUUAAUUGUACAAUUAUACAUACACCGUUAAUACUGUUGUCUAUUUGUGUAUUGGUAGUGGUGAUAACGAUAGCAAAUGCCGAUAGAAAUCUUCUAACAUCAACUUCUGAGUCUGGUAAUUAUAAUUUAGUGAAACUUAUGUGUGUAUUUCUAUAUGAAUUGUAAAUUUAUUACUUUGUUGUUAACAUUGUUUUUCCUUUAACUAUAUCUUUUUUCAUAUUAUCAUGUUUACACUAAAAUUGAUUCAUAUGUUUAAGGUGUUUGUUUUUAUGGCAAAACGGCAGAACGAGUACUUAGCAUAUUGGCAACUGGAAGAUACAGAUCUUUGCUGCCUUCAGGUAACACUCUUUUGCAUUUAACUAAAUUAGUUAAAUUUUAGCUUUAGGUAUAUAAUAUGCAUAAAGCCUCCUUGUCUAAGCUAACGCUCUAACAGUUAAUAUAUACUAGGAAUCUUCCGCUCUUUUUUUGUACACAGAAGUAUUUAAAAAUAUAUAUAUAUAUAUAUAUAUAUAUAUAUAAUUAUUGUUGGGUUGAUGUUUAGACGAGUUAUAUAUAUAAUUAUAUAUUCAAUGUUGAUGGGUAAAUUUCCCGUGGUUUUACUUCUUAAGGUCACAAUAAGCCACUGAGUAACAUGAUCACUUAAUGGUAGUAUACUUCUCAUUAUUGAAACUAAGUAAGGAAAAUUAUCCUAAAAAGAGUGUUAUGAGUGUCUUCCCGAUAUUCCUUAUUACUAAACACCUUUGUUUUACCUGUCAUCUACCAAUGUAAAAGUACAAUAUUAGUAUUUGCAGUAAAUGAACAUUAACGUCAUUUAAAGAUUUCAAUGAGAUAUGUAACAUUCUGUGCAGAAUUGAAAGAAAAAAGUUGAUUAGAACAAAUUGACAAAAAGAAAAACAACGUGUUGCUGAUACAUGUUUGCAGAUUCAUUUUUGAUUGUAUUCUAACAAGGAUUUAUUUCGAAAAUAAUUAGGCCAUAAUCUGUUUCUCGAAAAUGCUACUAGUGUUGCGAUUGGAGAAAAACAAUUGUAAUAUGUUAUCUUCUAUCUUAUUUAAACCUAAGCAAAUUAUUAUACUCUAAUAUAGUGUCUAUGCUAUUUUAGAAAACAAAAUUCAGGACUGCUCGGAUUUACACCGAAAACAUGAUAAAAGUGGGGUGUACAAAAUCUUCCCGGCAAGUGGCGCUGGAUUUAAGGCGUUCUGUGAUAUGAAUACGGAUGGCGGACGAUGGACGGUAAACAUAUUGUAAAAUAAAUGGAGGAAGUUGUUAAGAAAUAUUAAGACCAACGCAUUAUAUUGUUGCUUUAUGAUAAUAGUAUUCUCAUGUGAAUAAUUGGUAGACCUCACUGUACCAUUUUUAGAAACUUUAGACUUAUAAUUUAUAUGCGCAUAUGCGCAUAUCUCAUAUUAUAAAAAAAAAAAAAUCGGGGGGGGGGGUCAUUCAGUUACAUCAUAUACAUGAAUUGUAUACAGCAAAUUAAUUUAUGAUUCAUACAAAAUGUAUAUAUAAAUUUUGAACUCUAGGUUUUUCAGCGUAGACAAGACGGUAAAGUAGAUUUCUAUCGGGGAUGGGAAGAAUAUGCAAAUGGAUUUGGUAAUCUGAGGACGGAAUUCUGGUUAGGUGAGUGCUUUCAUUUAAAUAAAUCAGAAUGUGAAACACGUUCUCCGACUUGAAUCGAGUUCGAGGUCGAAACAGACAUUAUCAAUGUUGUUUUAUGUUGAUUUUUUUAAACAAAUGCAUGAACUAGUACUUGGAAUCUAUCGAAAUUAUGGAGGUGCUGACAAAAUGCAAGAUGCUUAUAUUGUAAAAUUAUAAAAUAAAACUUUUCGAACAUAUUUGUAAUAAAACAAGGUUCAUCACACAUGCAACAAAACAUAUCCUUUAAAUGAAAAAUACCAAUAACUUAUUUGAGGUUCCUGACGUAAAAAAAAACCUGAAACAAUCGACUUCAUCAUAUAAAUGCAUUUAUUCCUAGUUUAGCUGUCCUGUUUCAUUUGUCCGUAUUUUUAAAUUUUUCUGCUUUUAGAUGUCGUGUGAUGUCAUAUAUAUAAUUUCUCAUAUAAUUUUGAUAGAUUUAAAUAAUGAUUCGAAUUUAAGCGGGAGUAUACACAAAUAAGGUAUUCAUCUCAAUAUUUCUCUUAUUCUUUAUAUAAAAAAAGGUAAUGACAAACUGCACAAACUAACAUCUAAAGGACAUUAUGAGCUGAGAGUCGAUCUGGAGGAUUUUAAUGGGGACAAAGCCUAUGCCAAAUAUUCUACCUUCUACAUCGGCGACAAGUCAACCAACUACAGACUUACAGUGAAGGGUUACAGUGGAACGGCAGGUAAUUAUGGCAUUUUCUAAAUAAGUUUUUGCUACAUUACUUUUUUCUCAAUUACAGAUAGAAAGGGACUAGCUUUCGAAAUUUUUAAGUCGUAAAAGGAUUUAUCAAACAUGUCUCAACUAAGAAUACUGCUCAGAAUAUCUCAUCGGUUAAGGACACCAAUGUAACGCUUACGGUACACCAUUUGUUUUGUAUGUUGUUGAUUUUAAGAUCACUCAAUCACACACUUCACAAUAUCAACUAACGGACGAAUGAAAAACAACUGUCUUAUUUCUGAACUAGUAACAGUACUAACGGAGGAAAUUACUGUGUAAACCUUGUUUUAUAGCUAGAUUAACCGUUAAAUAAUCACAUAUGCAACAGGAAAUAGUAAAUUAGAUCUAUUAUGUCAGUCGGAAACAUAUCAAAACCAUACACUAUUUAGGAUUCGUUGAUAGCAAACAAUUAUUGUAACCGGCAGUGCCGCUGUGUAAAAGAGGGACGAAAGAUACAAAAGGGACAGUCAAACUCAUAAAUCGAAAAUAAACUGACAACGCCAUGGCUAAAAAUGAAAAAAAGACAAACAAUAGUACACAUGACACAACAUGAACAACACGAACCCCCGCAAAACAUGCAAAAACUAGGGGUGAUCUCAGGUGCUCCGGAAGGGUAAGCAGAUCCUGCUCCACAUGUGGCACCCGUCGUGUUGCUUAUGUGAUACCAAUUCCGGUAAAUAGUCUUAUUCGGUAGGUAACAUUCAUGAAAGAGAAGGGACUUGUAGUUACGACGUAAGGAACAUAUCCGAUAUCAUUUGUGAAACGGUUAUUCAAUAACGGUCAACGAACUCGUGAUGGCGUCCGUAAAAUUUACGAAGGGAUGAUUUCACCUUCACAAUUUGGAACUCUUGGUUUAAUAGCUUCCUUGUGAACAUCAACCCUCUAUCAAGAAAAUCAUGGGAAUAUCGUAAAAUAACAAGGCUUUCUUUGAAAAAAAGUCCAGACAUAACAAAUGUAAAAAAAUUUACCUUGAAAACUAAUGGCCAAACGUAUGUGCAAGACAAUAAACAAAUAUGAUAUACAGCAUACAUACUCUGUAUGUUUUGAGGCAAGUCUUCUAUUCCACAUUUAACCCAAAUUACAUUUUUAAUUGGUUACAUCUUUUAAAAUUUAGUACUUGAUUUUGUGUAUAUAAUUUUUUUUUUAAAACAAAUAUAAUAAUAUGAAUGUGUAAGCAUCGGUACUUAAACUAAUCAAUAUUAUAUUGGUCGUAUUAUCGAAUGGGGACAAUUUUUAAAAACAACCUCUGGAGAGAUAUUACAAAUGGUUGAACAAACGGGCAUUUUAAAGCUGCUAGUUUUCAUUUACGUCAUCGUCAAUUAUGGUCGAAUCUAUACACCUUCCUUUUUAUCUUGAUAUAAUUUUAGGUGAUUCUCUUAAGCACCAUAAUAAUCAGGCUUUCUCGACAAAAGAUAAGGAUCAUGACAGCGAUAGCGGUGAUUGUGCUGAAGUUAAUAAAGGGGCUUGGUGGUAUGGCAGCUGUCAUCACUCUAAUCUAAACGGACUGUACAUAGGAAAUAAAAAGGAUAACAAAGGCUUGCGUUGGUAUCAUUGGAAGUCAUCUCAGUCAAUGAAGACCACAUCAAUGAUGAUUCGUAGAGUAUAA
rnacentral:sRNA from 1 species